UCAGGAGCAAGAGACUUAUGAAUGGUGCCAGCCAGGAGGUCCAGCCCCACGGGCCUGUCCAUGGGCUCUUGUCUAAAAUAUGUUUUUAAUUUUUCACUUGGUCUUGUAACUUUUGAAACAUCCCUCUGACAAUUCCUGAUUGAUUGGCUUAAAAAAACAGCACUCUUCCUUUAGGAAGAGGCAUAGUCCCCCCUCGUUGGCCGUGAGUAGGUCCAGGCCCCUCCUGUUUUGUAAGACCACCUUGGCUAGAGAGACAAUCUGAUUUUGCAGAGCUCCCAGGGUUUUUGUUAUUUGUUGGAGAUCCUGGCUGAACUCACCUGUAAGCUGAUAAUAGUAAUAAGGGGAUGAGGCUAUGCCACCAAUUCCUGUGCCCACCCCUGCUGUCAUUCUGAGCCCCACUAGUAAGGGGAGUGAGGGCAUUAGCGUCAAUAACAUCAGCCUUAUGAUUAUCUUAGACAUGAUGCUGCAGUGAUGGCAUUAGUUAUAACAAGGUAUAAAGUAGCUAUCGGGAUCCUAUGGCCUAUAUUUCAGUCAGGUGGGGUGGUGCUGGCCAGCCCCACUGCUAAUAUGCAGGCUAGUGUAGUAAACAAGGAAAGAGGCAAGGGAGCACAAAAGGAAUACAUUUAACAGUUCCAUUGAGCUAUUCUCAAGCUUCGGCCGAGCGUUGACUAGCCAGCUUCUGGGUGUGCCUAGAGCAGGGCUCGUCGAUCUUUUUCUGGUCCUUCUUGAUCUUGAGCUUGAUCUUGAGCGGGUCUCCUGGGACACUCUCAAUUUUUUAGGGACCCUCUGUCUGAGGUGUAGGCCCCAUCUGAAGGCUCUAGAGAAUAAGCCAUGGGCUAAACUGAUAAACAAGCUGUGAAGAAUGUCACGUAUCCAGGCUGGAUAAGAAAUGGCCUUCUUAAUGUAUCCAGUAUGGACGGCUGGAUAGCCAAUGACGGGUAAGAUCCUCAGAGGAGGACAACCUAAGACAGGCAGAGCUGCCUGGAAAAGAGAUGGCCUACUUAAUGAAGUUUCGUGAUGAACUUUCAAACAACCUGUCCUUGAUCAUGUAGCAUCCUGUGCUUACUGCAGGAGCUUGGGGACCUAAAUAGCUAAGAUUAUUAACAUUGUUAUACCUUAGAUGAUAUGUGAGGCAUCGUGCAUGUCCUAUAUAAACCCUUUUCUAAGAAACAAUAAACAGAGAACUGCUUCACUUCUCUCCGCACAGUGUUCGUGUGUACACGAUAUCGCGCCACCGACAUGAGGUGAAGUUGCUCUCUUAACCCUGGAGUGGUGGAUCCAAGGGAUGGGCAGAGCGGGUCAACAGGAA